CAUGCAAGUCGAACGGUAAGGCCCUUCGGGGUACUCGAGUGGCGAGCGGGUGAGUAACACGUGGGUGAUCUGCCCUGCACUUCGGGAUAAGCCUGGGAAACUGGGUCUAAUACCGGAUAUGACCUCAGGAUGCAUGUCUUGUGGUGGAAAGCUUUUGCGGUGUGGGAUGGGCCCGCGGCCUAUCAGCUUGUUGGUGGGGUCACGGCCUACCAAGGCGACGACGGGUAGCCGGCCUGAGAGGGUGACCGGCCACACUGGGACUGAGAUACGGCCCAGACUCCUACGGGAGGCAGCAGUGGGGAAUAUUGCACAAUGGGCGCAAGCCUGAUGCAGCGACGCCGCGUGAGGGACGACGGCCUUCGGGUUGUAAACCUCUUUCAGCACAGACGAAGCGCGAGUGACGGUAUGUGCAGAAGAAGGACCGGCCAACUACGUGCCAGCAGCCGCGGUAAUACGUAGGGUCCGAGCGUUGUCCGGAAUUACUGGGCGUAAAGAGCUCGUAGGUGGUUUGUCGCGUUGUUCGUGAAAACUCACA
rnacentral:rRNA from 1 species